CAGGCUUAACACAUGCAAGUCGAGGGGCAGCAUUUUAGUUUGCUUGCAAACUGAAGAUGGCGACCGGCGCACGGGUGAGUAACACGUAUCCAACCUGCCGAUAACUCCGGAAUAGCCUUUCGAAAGAAAGAUUAAUACCGGAUAGCAUACGAAUAUCGCAUGAUAUUUUUAUUAAAGAAUUUCGGUUAUCGAUGGGGAUGCGUUCCAUUAGUUUGUUGGCGGGGUAACGGCCCACCAAGACUACGAUGGAUAGGGGUUCUGAGAGGAAGGUCCCCCACAUUGGAACUGAGACACGGUCCAAACUCCUACGGGAGGCAGCAGUGAGGAAUAUUGGUCAAUGGGCGAGAGCCUGAACCAGCCAAGUAGCGUGAAGGAUGAAGGCUCUAUGGGUCGUAAACUUCUUUUAUAUGGGAAUAAAGUUUUCCACGUGUGGAAUUUUGUAUGUACCAUAUGAAUAAGGAUCGGCUAACUCCGUGCCAGCAGCCGCGGUAAUACGGAGGAUCCGAGCGUUAUCCGGAUUUAUUGGGUUUAAAGGGAGCGUAGGUGGAUUGUUAAGUCAGUUGUGAAAGUUUGCGGCUCAACCGUAAAAUUGCAGUUGAAACUGGCAGUCUUGAGUACAGUAGAGGUGGGCGGAAUUCGUGGUGUAGCGGUGAAAUGCUUAGAUAUCACGAAGAACUCCGAUUGCGAAGGCAGCUCACUAGACUGUCACUGACACUGAUGCUCGAAAGUGUGGGUAUCAAACAGGAUUAGAUACCCUGGUAGUCCACACAGUAAACGAUGAAUACUCGCUGUUUGCGAUAUACAGUAAGCGGCCAAGCGAAAGCAUUAAGUAUUCCACCUGGGGAGUACGCCGGCAACGGUGAAACUCAAAGGAAUUGACGGGGGCCCGCACAAGCGGAGGAACAUGUGGUUUAAUUCGAUGAUACGCGAGGAACCUUACCCGGGCUUAAAUUGCAACAGAAUAUAUUGGAAACAGUAUAGCCGUAAGGCUGUUGUGAAGGUGCUGCAUGGUUGUCGUCAGCUCGUGCCGUGAGGUGUCGGCUUAAGUGCCAUAACGAGCGCAACCCUUAUCUUUAGUUACUAACAGGUCAUGCUGAGGACUCUAGAGAGACUGCCGUCGUAAGAUGUGAGGAAGGUGGGGAUGACGUCAAAUCAGCACGGCCCUUACGUCCGGGGCUACACACGUGUUACAAUGGGGGGUACAGAAGGCGGCUACCUGGUGACAGGAUGCUAAUCCCAAAAACCUCUCUCAGUUCGGAUCGAAGUCUGCAACCCGACUUCGUGAAGCUGGAUUCGCUAGUAAUCGCGCAUCAGCCAUGGCGCGGUGAAUACGUUCCCGGGCCUUGUACACACCGCCCGUCAAGCCAUGAAAGCCGGGGGUACCUGAAGUACGUAACCGCAAGGAGCGUCCUAGGGUAAAACUGGUAAUUGGGGC
rnacentral:rRNA from 1 species